ACCAGACUCCUACGGGAGGCAGCAGUGGGGAAUAUUGCACAAUGGGGGAAACCCUGAUGCAGCGACGCCGCGUGAGUGAAGAAGUAUUUCGGUAUGUAAAGCUCUAUCAGCAGGGAAGAAAAAAGACGGUACCUGACUAAGAAGCCCCGGCUAACUACGUGCCAGCAGCCGCGGUAAUACGUAGGGGGCAAGCGUUAUCCGGAUUUACUGGGUGUAAAGGGAGCGUAGACGGAGAAGCAAGUCUGAAGUGAAGGCCCGUGGCUUAACCACGGGACUGCUUUGGAAACUGUUUGACUAGAGUGCGGGAGAGGUAAGUGGAAUUCCUAGUGUAGCGGUGAAAUGCGUAGAUAUUAGGAGGAACACCAGUGGCGAAGGCGGCUUACUGGACAGUAACUGACGUUGAGGCUCGAAAGCGUGGGGAGCAAACAGGAUUAGAUACCCCAGUACC
rnacentral:rRNA from 1 species